AUGCUUUACAUACAAGUACAGCUGUACUGAUAUAUCUGUAAUUACAUGUACACUGAAACAAGGUCCCUGAAAUGUUUAUUUACUGCUUUAUUUUUCAUGCAUAUUUGUUUUUCAAUGUAAAGUUCAUUAUAAGAAUCAACUUUGGUAUGUGCAUGUAUGAAUAAAAAAUUAUGGCAAUUUAAUGUAAUGAUAUUUUACCAGAUAAUCUUAUAACCUUGCACAUUACACUACAGUGUUGUCCUUGUAAUAUACAUGAAAUAUACAUUGUAUGUGUUGAUAUUGACACAAUGAAAUUUUUGUACAGUGUCAAGGAAGGAGUUGUUAUAACUUUACUCUACUAAUGUAUCUUUUUUAAUUUAUGAUCUGCAACCUAUUAUGUUGAUUUAUUCAAUAUAAGUCAUGCAAAAUAUAAAUCAUGCAAAAUGUC
rnacentral:sRNA from 1 species